ensembl:lncRNA
AUACAUUUAGUCUCUUUAGUUCGGUCCUUUUGUAUGGUCAAGAAAUCUUGUAUGAUUCUCUCAGUGUUCAUCAGUACAUGAUUUGGUGGGAGUGUAACGGACCUAUUGUGUAUCGACCUGUAUUGCGCCCCGGAACCUUUUAUUUACGUUUCACCCGGUACCCUUUUUGAGGCGCACAGCAGCAUUCAUGGCGAUGCGUGUCUCGCGCGUAGUCGCGUCGAAAACUGUAUGAAGCAAGCUAACGGCCAGACCCAUGAAUGUCCGGUGAAUUCAACUUUUCCCGCUCAAUUUACCGUCGUCUUGCACCCUUGGCAAGUGGAGCGAGGUAUGUUGUUUUAUUGUAUGCCUUUAGUGUGAUUAUGUUUAAUUUUGGUGUCUUUAUGUAAGUUAAGCAGAUAAUGCACAUGUUUAAGUUUUCUUUGUUGUCCUGAAAUAUGUUUUCUGUCAUUCUUUUAUUUGUGU